GCCUAACGGCUGACCAGCAACUUGGAGGAAUGUAUAGCUACGGCUAAUUGUGUAUAGCACGAUAUCGACUCUGUCGAAUAAAAUUCUGGGUAAAUUAUGAUGAUGACAUUUUUUACCCAUGUGUCUUGACCAAAUUGUGUGCCAGCAGUCGCGGUAAUACAUAGAAGACUAGUGUUAUUCAUCUUUAAUAGGUUUAAAGCGUACCUAGACGGUAAAUCAAGCCCUACGGGACUAAUUUGCUAGAGUUACUUAUGAGGGGGCUUUAAAGUACUAAUGGUGUAGAGAUAAAAUUUUGUAAUACCAUUUUUCGUAAAGAAAAUUAUGGCACUGGUAAAGGUGAAAGCAUCCCCCUAUGUGAUAGCUUUGGGUCGCGAAUAGGAUUAGAUACCCUAGUAGUCAAAGCAGAAAAUUAUGAGUGUCAUAGAUUAGUUUAUUCUAUAAAUGAAAGUGUAAGCACUCCACCUCAAGAGUAAUUUGGCAACAUUGGAACUGAAAUCAUUAGACCGUUUCUGAAACCAGUAGUGAAGUAUGUUGUUUAAUUCGAUGAUCCGCGAAAAACCUUACCAUGAAUAUGUACAAGCGUUGCACGGCUGUCUUCAGUUAAUGUCGUGAGACUUUGGUUAGAUCCAUUAAAUUAACGUAAGCCCUUACUUUAUUUUCAUAUAAAGUAGUUCUCCACCAUAUUGGACAAGAUAACAGGGACUAAGACAAGUCAUCAUGGCCUGAAUAUUAUAAACCUUUACAAAGGGAUGUGAAAUUGCGAAAUUAAACUAAUCCCCAAAACUGGAUAUA
rnacentral:rRNA from 1 species